UUAAUUAAAAUCGUUAGAAUAAUAAAUGAUAUUAGAAAUAUAAUUUAGAUUAGUAAAAUUUAUGAAAUUCAUUUUUAGCGAUAGAAAACAAGUACUGUGAAGGAAAUUAUGAAAAAUUUGAAAUAUUUUAUAAUAGAAAAGUACAUUUUAAUAAAGGUAACUUUUGUAUCAGCGAUUAUUAAAUUAUAAAUUUAAAAUAUUUUAUCUCGAAAAUAAAAAGAUCUAUAUAAAUUAGUUGGUUUUUGUGUCAACAAGAUCAAAUAAAUUUAUAUAGGGGUGAAACAUUAAACGAUUUUAUUAAUAUCUAGUAACUUCAAAAAUAAAUUUAGUUUAGGGUGAUUAGUUAUCUAUCUUACUAAAAGAUUGAUAAAUUAUUUACUCUUAUAUUUUAGGGGAUGAGCUCUAGAAUAAAAAUAUAAAACAUACGCACAUCUUUGUUUUUUAUAUAGGCCCAGAAUUAGCCAUAAGAAAGUGUUAUAAGUUAGAAAUUUAAGUUAACGAUUUAUUUGUUUUUAGUUCUUUAUGAAGUUAUUUUUUAACAAUAAAAAAAAAGAAAAUAUGAUAAUAUUAGUAGAUAAUUUUCUUAUGGAAAAUAUUUAAGUUUUCCUAUAUUUUACUUAGGAAUGUAUAUAAUAAAAGAACUCGGCAAAAACGAUUUCCGAAUGUUUAACAAAAACAUUUCCUCUUAGAAUAGGAGGUAAAGCCUGCUCACUGAAAAUUAAAGAGCCGCAGUAUUUUGACUGUGCUAAGGUAGCAUAAUCAUUAGUCUUUUAAUUGGAGACUGGUAUGAAUGGCUAAACGAGAAAUCUUCUUUUUUUAUUAUAAAUAUCGAAUUUAUUUUUUUAGUGAAAAAACUAAAAUAUUCCUGAAAGACGAGAAGACCCUAUAGAGUUUUAUAUAGUAAACUAUCAUAUUGUAUUAGAUCUGAUUCGAUUUGAUUUUAUUCUGUAAUUUGUUGGGGCGACAUUAAGAUAAAAAAAACUCUUUUUUAUAAAAACUUUGAUAAAUGAAUAACUUGAUCCUUUAAAAAAGAUAAUAAGAUAAAAUUACCUUAGGGAUAACAGCGUAAUCUUUUUUGAGAGUUCUAAUCGACAAAAAGGUUUGCGACCUCGAUGUUGGACUAAAAUUUAGAUGUGGUGCAGCAGCUACAUUUUAGGGUCUGUUCGACCCAUAAUAUUUUACAUGAUCUGAGUUCAGACCGGCGUGAGCCAGGUUGGUUUCUAUCUUCUGGUAUAAUAGAAUUAGUUUAGUACGAAAGGAUUGAUUAAUUAUAAUAGUUAUAGAUAAAGAAUAUUAGUAAAAUUUUUUAU
rnacentral:rRNA from 1 species